rnacentral:rRNA from 1 species
UACGGAGGAUGCAAGCGUUAUCCGGAAUGAUUGGGCGUAAAGCGUCCGCAGGUGGCUGUGUAAGUCUGCUGUCAAAGAGCGAAGCUCAACUUCGUAAAGGCAGUGGAAACUACACGGCUAGAGUGCGUUCGGGGCAGAGGGAAUUCCUGGUGUAGCGGUGAAAUGCGUAGAGAUCAGGAAGAACACCGGUGGCGGAGGCGCUCUGCUAGGCCGCAACUGACACUGAGGGACGAAAGCUAGGGGAGCGAAUGGG